AUCUUAAAAAAAAUUAGAAAGCGUGAUGAUUGGGUGUUCACGCUGCCGUGUGAGAUGUGCCGCCCAUGAACCUUGUUACGCUUCUGGCACAUGACCCGUCUGACG
rnacentral:snoRNA from 1 species